UUUGUGUUCAACCAAAUCUGCUCUCCACCAGCCUGCAGAUGGCCUACUGUGGAUACAGGAAACAUGACAAGGAAAUUAAGAGAUGAAGUGACUGAGAAAAGCCUGAAUCUUAACUAUUUAUAAAGUGCUGAAUAUGUUGGUUUUCUGACUGGGCUAAGUACACAUUGAUUUGAAAGCUGCAUCUCUGAGCUCGUGUAGUUUGGGGUAUGUCUGGUUGAAGAGAUGUGCCAUUAAUUUUCAUUAGAUCUCUACAGCGGUCCCUGGACAGAUGACAUUUGUAAAGUUGACACCAGGCCCAGUGUGCUGACCCCAGCUCUACGUCAUGCACACAACAAGCAGCAGAGACCUGCCCUACCUGGGAAGGCAGCCUGAAACCCGCACUGGCCAUCCUGAAGGAAAUCAUUUCCACAGACAAGUCCAUGACAGGCUGAAAAGCUGGGCCUUAGAAAUGAAUCCUUUUUGUCUACCAG